rnacentral:lncRNA from 1 species
AGAUAUCAUUCCGCACAACCCUUCCUGAAACCUUUAAAAUAAUCUUAUUUUCUGAAAAACUUAUAAAAAUGUGUGAAUAAUCGUCCUGAAUUUUCAUAAAUAUUCUGUUUUAUUCUGUCCGCCCUGAUUUUUGUUCGCCCUAGUUACUGUUCGCCCUAGUUCCGUUUCGCCCUGAGACCGUUCGCCCUUAUACCUGUUCGCCCUGGGUAUGUUCGCCCUGAUUUAUAUUUUUUAUUGUAGUGUUGUGUUAUGUGUAUUUAAUUGAAUAUGUUGAAGUCAGUCUACAAUUUCGCCGAAUAUUUACGAUUUUUAUUUUUUAUUAUAGUGUUGUGUUGUGUGUAUUUAAUUGAAUAUGUUGAAGUCAGUCUACAAUUUCGCCGAAUAUUUACGAUUUUUAUUUUUAUUUAUAGUGUGUGUUGUGUGUAUUUAAUUGAAUAUGUUGAAGUCAGUCUACAAUUUCGCCGAAUAUUUACGAUGUAUUAUGUCUACAGCUAGCUGCUA